AGCGAACGCUGGCGGCAUGCCUAACACAUGCAAGUCGAACGAGAGCAUCGUAACUGCUUGCUCACAGGUGCGUCGAGCGGCGGACGGUUCCGUAAUACUCCGGAUUCCUCUUUUUAGUGGGUGCUAAUACCGGGUAAUUUCUGCUAAUCCCAGAUUCGACUCCUGGGUGUAAGCAGGUGUUCGAUUAGCUCUUUGGUGGGGUAUAAGCCGACCACGGCGACGAUCCGUAGCUGGUCUGAGAGGCAGAUCAGCCACACUGGAACUGAGACACGAUCCAGACUCCUACGGGAGGCAGCAGUGGGGAAUAUUGGACAAUGGGCGCAAGCCUGAUCCAGCCAUACCGCGUGGGUGAAGAAGGCCUUCGGGUUGUAAAGCCCUUUUGUUGGGAAAGAAAAGCAGCAGGUUAAUACCCCGCUGUUCUGACGGUACCCAAAGAAUAAGCACCGGCUAACUUCGUG
rnacentral:rRNA from 1 species